UGCCCUCUCGUCCAAUGGCAGGACAGCUGAUUCUGGAUCAGCCGAUCGUGGUUCGAAUCCACGGGGGGCAACCA
rnacentral:tRNA from 1 species